rnacentral:rRNA from 1 species
AUUGAACGCUGGCGGCAGGCCUAACACAUGCAAGUCGAGCGGCGCGGCGGACGGGUGCGUAAUGCCUAGGAAUCUGCCUGGGAGUGGGGGAUAACGUCCGGAAACGGGCGCUAAUACCGCAUACUAUCAGACGAGCCUAGGUCGGAGUAGCGAGUUGGUGGGGUAAAGAACAACCAAGGCGACGAGCCGUAACUGGUCGUAGAGGAUGAGCAGUCACACGGGAACUGAGACACGGCCCAGACUCCUACGGGAGGCAGCAUUGGGGAAUAUUGCACAAUGGGCGAAAGCCUGAUCCAGCCAUGCCGCGUGUGUGAAGAAGGCCUUCGGAUUGUAAAGCACUUUCAGUUGGGAGGCGUUACCGACAGAAUAAGCACCGGCUAACUUCGUGCCAGCAGCCGCGGUAAUUC